rnacentral:rRNA from 1 species
UACGGAGGGUGCAAGCGUUAUCCGGAUUCACUGGGUUUAAAGGGUGCGUAGGUGGGUUGGUAAGUCAGUGGUGAAAUCUCCAGGCUUAACUUGGAACUGCCGUUGAUACUAUAGAUCUUGAAUGCUGUGGAGGUGAGCGGAAUAUGUCAUGUAGCGGUGAAAUGCUUAGAUAUGACAUAGAACACCAAUUGCGAAGGCAGCUCACUACCCAGAUAUUGACACUGAGGCACGAAAGCGUGGGGAUCAAACAGG